rnacentral:misc_RNA from 1 species
UACGGAGGGUGCAAGCGUUGUUCGGAAUUAUUGGGCGUAAAGCGCGCGCAGGCGGUCUGUUAAGUCUGGUGUGAAAUCCCGGGGCUCAACCCCGGACGUGCAUUGGAAACUAAUGGACUUGAGUCCGAGAGAGGUUAGUGGAAUUCCUGGUGUAGGGGUGAAAUCCGUAGAGAUCAGGAGGAACACCGGUGGCGAAGGCGACUGACUGGAUCGGCACUGACGCUGAGGCGCGAAAGCGUGGGUAGCAAACAGG